rnacentral:rRNA from 1 species
GGACGAACGCUGGCGGCGUGCUAACACAUGCAAGUCGAGCGAUGAAGUCCUCGGGAGCGGAUUAGCGGCGGACGGGUGAGUAACACGUGGGUAACCUGCCUCAUAGAGGGGAAUAGCCUUCCGAAAGGAAGAUUAAUACCGCAUAAGAUUGCAGUUUCGCAUGAAACAGCAAUUAAAGGAGCAAUCCGCUAUGAGAUGGACCCGCGUCGCAUUAGCUAGUUGGUGAGGUAACGGCUCACCAAGGCGACGAUGCGUAGCCGACCUGAGAGGGUGAUCGGCCACAUUGGGACUGAGACACGGCCCAGACUCCUACGGGAGGCAGCAGUGGGGAAUAUUGCACAAUGGGGGAAACCCUGAUGCAGCAAACCGCCGCGUGAGUGAUGACGGUCUUCGGAUUGUAAAGCUCUGUCUUCAGGGACGAUAAUGACGGUACCUGAGGAGGAAGCCACGGCUAACUACGUGCCAGCCGCAGC